GACGAACGCUGGCGGCGUGCUUAACACAUGCAAGUCGAGCGGUAAGGCCCUUUCGGGGGUACACGAGCGGCGAACGGGUGAGUAACACGUGGGUGGCCUGCCCUUAGCUCUGGGAUAAGCCUGGGAAACUGGGUCUAAUACCGGAUAUGACCUCAUGACUCAUGUUGUGGGGUGGAAAGCCUUGUGCGGCUAGGGAUGGGCCCGCGGUCUAUCAGCUUGUUGGUGGGGUAAUUGCCUACCAAGGCGACGGCGGGUAGCCGGCCUGAGAGGAUGGCCAGCCACACUGGGACUGAGACACGGCCCAGACUCCUACGGGAGGCAGCAGUGGGGAGUAUUGGACAAUGGGGGCAACCCUGAUCCAGCAAUGCCGCGUGGGUGAUGAAGGCCUU
rnacentral:rRNA from 1 species